AGGACGAACGCUGGCGGCGUGCUUAACACAUGCAAGUCGAGCGGAAAGGCCCUUCGGGGUACUCGAGCGGCGAACGGGUGAGUAACACGUGAGCAACCUGCCCUUAGCUCUGGGAUAGCUCCGGGAAACCGGAAUUAAUACCGGAUAUGACCUAGGCCGACAUCGGCCGUGGUGGAAAGUUUUUCGGCUAGGGAUGGACUCGCGGCCUAUCAGCUAGUUGGUGGGGUAAUGGCCUACCAAGGCGACGACGGGUAGCCGGCCUGAGAGGGCGACCGGCCACACUGGGACUGAGACACGGCCCAGACUCCUACGGGAGGCAGCAGUGGGAAUCUUGCGCAAUGGGCGAAAGCCUGACGCAGCGACGCCGCGUGGGGGAUGAAGGCCUUCGGGUUGUAACCCCUUUCAGCAGGGACGAAGCGAAAGUGACGGUACCUGCAGAAGAAGCGCCGGCUAACUACGCGCCAGCAGCCGC
rnacentral:rRNA from 1 species